rnacentral:rRNA from 1 species
GACAAGAAAUAACAAUACGGGGCUUAAAGUCUUGUAAUUGGAAUGAUGGGAAUUUAAACCUCUUCCAGAGUAUCAAUUGGAGGGCAAGUCUGGUGCCAGCAGCCGCGGUAAUUCCAGCUCCAAUAGCGUAUAUUAAAAUUGUUGCAGUUAAAAAGCUCGUAGUUGAAUUUCUGCUGCAUUGCUUGUGUCCCUCUGGGGUCUGUGCAUGUGGCUUUUUUCGGACGGAGUUUCUUUGUCUGAAUGUUUACUUUGAGAAAAUUAGAGUGCUCAAAGCAGGCUUUCGCCUUGAAUAGUUUAGCAUGGAAUAAUGAAGUAGGACUUUGGUUCUAUUUUGUUGGUUUUAGGUACCAAAGUAAUGGUUAAUAGGAACAGUUGGGGGCAUUCGUAUUUAACUGUCAGAGGUGAAAUUCUUAG